rnacentral:rRNA from 1 species
UACGAAGGGGGCUAGCGUUGCUCGGAAUCACUGGGCUUAAAGGGCGCGUAGGCGGGCGGCCAAGUCAGGGGUGAAAUCCUGGAGCUCAACUCCAGAACUGCCUUUGAUACUGAGAAGCUUGAGUCCGGGAGAGGUGAGUGGAACUGCGAGUGUAGAGGUGAAAUUCGUAGAUAUUCGCAAGAACACCAGUGGCGAAGGCGGCUCACUGGCCCGGUACUGACGCUGAGGUGCGAAAGCGUGGGGAGCAAACAGGG